GACAGAGGGUGCAAACGUUGUUCGGAAUUACUGGGCGUAAAGCGCGUGUAGGCUGCUGCGAAAGUCAGGUGUGAAAGCCCCGGGCUCAACCUGGGAAGUGCACUUGAAACCUCGCAGCUCGAAUGUCGGAGAGGGCAGCGGAAUUCUCGGUGUAGAGGUGAAAUGCGUAGAUAUCGGGAGGAACACCAGUGGCGAAGGCGACUUCCUGGCCUGUUCUUGACGCUGAGGCGCGAAAGCUAGGGUAGCAAACGGG
rnacentral:rRNA from 1 species